AUUCCAUGAUGAGGGCACUUUCAUAAUAACGCUUUGUACCUUUCCCAUGCGUCAUACAGGGACUCAUUAUCCAUUUUUUGAAAGGCAAUGAUCUCAUUCCUCAACUU
rnacentral:snoRNA from 1 species